rnacentral:rRNA from 1 species
GUGUCAGCCGCCGCGGUAAUACGUAGGUGACAAGCGUUAUCCGGAAUUACUGGGCGUAAAGCGCACGCAGGCGGCGCAUUAAGUCUGAUGUGAAAUCUCCCGGCUUAACUGGGAGGGGUCAUUGGAAACUGAUGUGCUUGAGGCGGUGAGAGGGGUGUAGAAUUCCCGGUGUAGUGGUGGAAUGCGUAGAUAUCGGGAGGAAUACCAGUGGCGAAAGCGACACCCUGGCACUAGCCUGACGCUCAUGUGCGAAGGCGUGGGGAGCGAACGGGAUUAGAAACCCCUGUAGUCC